rnacentral:rRNA from 1 species
AGCAGCCGCGGUAAUUCCAGCUCCAAUAGCGUAUAUUAAAGUUGUUGCAGUUAAAAAGCUCGUAGUUGAAUUUUGGGUCUGGCCGGGCGGUCCGCCCUCUGGGUGAGCACUGUUCCGACGCCGGGCCUAUCCUUCUGGUGAGUCGGCAUGUCCUUUAUUGGGUGUGCCGGGGAACCAGGACCAUUACCUUGAAAAAUUAGAGUGUUCAAAGCAGGCGUAUGCUCGGAUACAUUAGCAUGGAAUAAUGAAAUAGGACGCGUGGUGCUAUUUUGUUGGUUUCUAGAACCGCCGUAAUGAUUAAUAGGGAUAGUUGGGGGCAUUAGUAUUCAAUUGUCAGAGGUGAAAUUCUUGGAUUUAUUGAAGACUAACUUCUGCGAAAGCAUUUGCCAAGGAUGUUUUCAUUAAUCAAGAACGAAAGUUAGGGGAUCGAAGACGAUCAGAUACCGUCGUAGUCUUAACCAUAAACUAUGCCGACUAGGAAUCGGGCGAUGUUAUUCUCAUGACUCGCUCGGCGCCUU